rnacentral:tRNA from 1 species
GCCCGUUUGGCUUAGUGGUACAGCGUCUCACUCGUAUCAUCUACGUAAUGAGAAGAUCCUCGGUUCGAUUCCGAGAAUGGGCA